rnacentral:rRNA from 1 species
GGGUCAGUAGGUUGGUCGUGCCACCGGUACGUACUGGUCUCACUGAUUCCUCCUUCCUGAAGAACCGUAAUGCCAUUAAUUUGGUGUUGCGGUGAAACAGGACUGUUACUUUGAAAAAAUUAGAGUGUUUAAAGCAAGCUAACGCUUGAAUACAUUAGCAUGGAAUAAUGAAAUAGGACGAUCGAUCCUAUUUUGUUGGUUUCUAGGAUUGACGUA